CGGAGGCGAAAUGAUCCGGGAGCCGUGCGCAGUAACGUGGGGUUCCGCGGCGUGGAGCCCGGGACCGCUGCGAGCCUGCACAGACUGAUUUCCUCCCACCACCGCCUUCUCCUUUCGCUCUGCGUGGGCUACACGGUGGGACUGCAGCGGCGAAAGCGACUUAAGUCCGGGCGCACUUAUCUAACCUGCUGGCGACCCUGAAAAGCAGCCGCGUAACAAAGGGAUCAAGGCUUUUUCUGCAAAAUAGCUGCAGAAUGUAAACCGCAGAAUAUAAACCGAGGCUGCUGGCAUUUCCCUUGGAGUUCUACUGGAUACCUGAAAACUUCAUUAUGGAUUUCAUCUCUGGGAACACGUGAGUUCCUGUGGCUCCGCAGCCAGGACAUAGAAACAGCACUGGUGGGUGAUUGCAUUGAUCCAGAUUUGGAAGUUGUGUGGCAGUGGAGAAGCAAGAAGUAAUUUCUACACAAGCAUUGUAGAGUUCUACAGUGAGAAAGCAGCAUCUCUGACUGCCUGAACUAUUCUGGAAUUACCUCUCUCACCACUUGGGAAACCUACCAGGACACCAGUGGCCAGUGGACUUCUAGACAUAUGCUUCUUGCCCAAGAGCCUCCAUGUGGUUCUAGAACCAGUCCCACACAAAGGAAUGAGUACAGUUGCCUAGGAGGCAGGCCACUGUGGAAGUCAUACUUGUGAAAGGAACUCAGCUGCCAAGUAGUGAAGACUUCAGGUGGAGGAUGAAUUGAGUCAGUUCCUGAUCUCUCAGGAAGAAAUGGUAAAGCCUCAGGAUGCAGCCAAAAUGACCAGAGAUGGAUAUUUAACUGAAGGUGGACACCUUCUCUGCAGGAGUCCCCUCUCCCAGGAAUGCAAUGAGAUGGAGAAAGCUGACUGCAGGAAAUCAGGCAAGGAGGUCAAGUUGAUUCAGAGGCUGAUGCUAGUGUUGGCUGUAUGUGAGUGGACAAGUGACUAGAAGACAUUACCAGGCAGAGGGGAGGGGGUGGGAAAUAAAGGCAGCACUCCCAGAGAAACAAGGAAGAGAUCGAGAGCCAGAGAGAGGUGUGGAUUAGCAGACAGAGGAGGGAGGAGAGGGGAAGAGUUGUGAGUGGAAUAAGAGGGAGAGAGGGGAGUGAUGAGAGUGGGCCCAGGAGAUGGCACCCAGAUAACGUGAAUUUCAGUGAGGUGCCGCUGUGCAUCCUGCAGGAAAUUUCAGUGUGAUUCCCCUGUAUCCUUGUAAUAACCCUCUCUAUUUCCUUAUUUUAGUUGUUUCUUACAACCUUUACCCUAAGGUAACUAUUCUUCUACCAACUCCUCAAACUCAUCCUGAAUGAUUUCAUCCACUUUUUUUUUCCAGUUUAAAGUAUUUUUCUUCAGUGUAAUACUUGCAUAUAGUUUAAAAAAAAGAAAGAGUACCAAAGGCUUAGAAUGAUAAGCAGAAGUCUCUAUGCC